UACGGGGGGAGCAAGCGUUGUUCGGAUUUACUGGGCGUAAAGGGCGGGUAGGCGGCCACCGCAAGUCGACUGUGAAAUCUCCGGGCUUAACCCGGAAAGGUCAGCCGAUACUGCGGGGCUAGAGUGCAGAAGGGGCAACUGGAAUUCUCGGUGUAGCGGUGAAAUGCGUAGAUAUCGAGAGGAACACCGGUGGCGAAGGCGGCUCGCUGGGCCGGCCCUGACGCUGAGACGCGAAGGCGUGGGGAGCGAACGGG
rnacentral:rRNA from 1 species